CACAGGCACACACAUUUCCCCAGGGUAGAGGCGGUUUUGAACCUCGGUUCUCUCAUUUGUGAAAUAUAUUCCUAAUAUCCAGGAUACAGAAAAGCUGUAGACACGGAAGAAGACCACCUGUGCAAAGCUGGCUAACACCUGUGUACACACUUCCCCUGUCUGCGAAGAUGGCAGGCCUGUUCCCAGUGGUUUGGAAGCUUAAGGUUCUCAGCAUCCGGGCAUUAGGGUUGGAAGAACUGGACAAAGAAAGACAAACGGUCAGAACCAUCAGCAGGCUAGUUCCCCUCAGUGACCUCUCUUGGCAGUUGUUGGAUGAGUGAGAAGUCAGAAGAAAUAGCACGUACCAGGCCGGCGUGACAGCUCAGCUCGUGACAAAGGCAUGGAACAGGGCCCAGUCUGCUCACAGUCUUCUUUUGUUACGGAUGAGGAGUUUGAAGCUCCAAAAAGGUAAGGAGACUGCCCCAGGGGUCGCCCUGCUAAUUGGUAGCAGAACUGGAAUCUGUCCUAAAGACUCAUUCACACACACACACACACACACACCCCUCAGAAGGCCCCCCAGUGCCUUAGGUUUGCUCCAGAAGGGCUAGAGACUGCAUGGUGUUGAGGUUUCAGAAGACUUUGAGGAGGUACUGCCUGUGGGUGUGGGUGCUGGAUCUGUCUCUGGCCUGUGCCAGGCUGGAGCAGAGCCAGGAACCCGGGCAAUUUUCAAGACUGAGCUGCCUGGCUCACCCCAAGGAAGCCUCUGCCUCCAGCCACCUCACCGACGCUGGGUUUAAUCAUUAACUCCAGGUUCACAGGGCUGAAGCUGGAGUGCACAGGGUCUGGGGAGCAGCCUGGGUCUCCAAGGAGCCAGGAGAAAGAUGGCUCAGGAGGAGAAGAAGGGGGCAAAGUUUAGAAUGCGCUUGCUCAUCCCUGAAUGGAUACACCCUGAGCACAGGGACAAGGUUCUGAUUGUGACUGUCGAUUUUGCUGGAGUUUAAACAGUGGUUUUUGUAAGCUUGAUUUCAGGGCAUCCAUUCAAUGUUCAUUGAACGUUGUACUUCUGUCUGCUGCAGCCUUCAUCCUGUGGGAUAAGAAUUUACUUCUAUGAGCAUUAAAUGUAGCUCAUAGAGAGCAGGACUCUUUCUUCCCAUCAGCCUCAGUGCCUGGCACAGCCUGGAAUAUGAUCAAUGCUGAUUAAAUAUUUGCUGAGUGAAUGAAACCCAACUCUGCCUAAAAGUAUUUUUAAAUGUCCCCUUUAGAAAAGAAAUGGGCACUAAUUUUUUACUAUUACUAUUAUUAUUAUUACUAUUAUUAUUAUUGAGACAAAGUCUGACUCUGUAGCCCAGGCUGCCUUGGAGCCCUUAGCAACUUACCUGCUUCAGCUCUCCAAGACUGGGGUUACACAGAUGAAACAUCAUACUAACUUGUUUUUAUUUUUAUUUUUUUGAGGCAGAGUAUCACUACAUUGCCCAGGUUACAGUCAAACCUGCUACUCUCCUGCUUCAGUUUCUUCAGUGUUGGGACUACACGUUUGCACCAUCAAGCCAAACGGCUGAUUUUAUUUAAAAAAAAACAAAAACAAAAACAAAAACAAAACUUCAAUAGAGCAGGACAUGGUGGAUCAUUCUUUUUAUCCUAACACUCAGGAGACAAAGGCAGGUGGAGCUCUGUGAGUUCAAGGCCAGUCUCGUCUACAUAGAGAGUCCCAGGCCAGCCAGGGGCACAGUGAGACCCUGCCAAACAAACAAACAAACAAACCAGCAGCAAUAGUAAAAAGUUCAGUGGAGGUUUGCACUUGUAUAGUAGCCGAGUCUAGGUGAAGUCCCCUGGUCUCAAGCAGGUGGCAGUCUUCUCCCCUUUGUCCCUAACGUCUGAGAAAAGACAGAGUAUGGCUGAAACUGCUUAAGCGUUCUCCAGACACGGGUGUUAUUCAAGCACGAGGCCACAUUUGACUGCGGAAAAGAAAGCCCCAUGGGGCAAUAAAGGUAACUGCCCCUUGUCAUUUCUGGGAUCUUGCAAUGGGAAAGACUGUUAGCAGAAAUACUGCUCUGACCUGGGAGUGCAAUCGCUUAAAAGGUAUUUGUGUAUUCUGCCAAAGCAAAAGUCCAAAACCAGACAAACAAACACCACCUUCCGUUUGAGAAGUAAGAUGCAGGUGGCAACAAGACUUCUAUCUCAGGCUGAUUCACCUACUUCCUGGUGGGUAGAUACGGCCACAUCUUCUUCACAUGGUAUUUGUGAGGACUUAAUGGCUGAAUGGCAUGGGAAACCCUUGGCAGCUAGAAGAUGCUCACACACAGUGCAGAUGCCUUCUGUCUCUUGAAAGUAAGAUCAUCUCCUAGAACCAGGUAUGGAGAUAUAGUCCGCUCCCGGAAGCCAUGUGAACGUGGGCAUCAGGUCAGAGUUGAGGCUCGCUCUGCUGAUGGGGCCUCAAAUGUAAACAUUUGUUGGUAUUGUGUGGCUGUAGGGGAUGCUGGGGGAAGAAAUUCCCUUUGCAGGAAUAGCCACUGUCCUGGAAGAGCCAGAAUACCUUGUUGGACCUGGGCCAAGAAAGCUGACUCUCCUCCCCCAGCCAAAUCUGUCUCAGGCUGUGGAGGAAACUGGCCAAUGUCAGGGAGCCUCCAUUGGUGCUGCCUCUGGGUGGUUUACCUUAGCAGGGUGGUGACAUAUAUAGUGUGACCAAUUUGCCUUCACCCCAUUUUACCACUGGAACGUCCUCAGAGUUCUGAAAGUCUUUUAAGGUUCUAGCUCUCUACCGUAGUCACCAUCAGGAGGUAAAUCUGUUCAGAAAGGACCCCCGGCAUCCUCCUUACCCUCAGCUCAGCCCACAGUUGCUGAGAACUCCCUGACCACCUGAUGUCUCUCCCUGCCCCUCCUCCUUUAAGUCUCACCCUCUCACCCUAAAAUCUGAGAUGAAAUGAAAGGUAAAUUGCCAAGGGAGGUCCUCUCCCGCGGCAGAUUUCCUGUCUUUGCUUGUGAGCACGGAGACCCCGAGUGGGGAGGCCAAUGGCAGAGCACUCUCCCAGAACCAGCCCUGGGGUGACAGGUGUAUCAGAGAGUAACUCCUUCAAUGGUGGGGGAGGGAAGAAUGAGCCCCGGCUGAUUGUACCACGCUCGCGGACAACUUA
rnacentral:lncRNA from 1 species